GAUUACCUACGGGAGGCAGCAGUAGGGAAUAUUGCUCAAUGGGGGAAACCCUGAAGCAGCAACGCCGCGUGAGGGAUGAAGGUCUUCGGAUCGUAAACCUCUGUCAGCAGGGAAGAACGGUCACUGUGCUAAUCAGCAGUAAAUUGACGGUACCUGCAAAGGAAGCACCGGCUAACUCCGUGCCAGCAGCCGCGGUAAUACGGAGGGUGCGAGCGUUAAUCGGAAUUACUGGACGUAAAGCGCUCGUAGGCGGUAUGUCAAGUCAAGGGUGAAAUCCCCGCGCUUAACGUGGGAACUGCCUUUGA
rnacentral:rRNA from 1 species